CGAAGCUCACAGUCAUCCCUGGACUGGUCAUGGUGAUGGGGGAGCAGUGAGACCUUCAGUCUGUCGAGGCCCAUCCCUGGAAUCGUGUGGUCAGCUUCCCUGCAAGGACAUGAGCUCUCAAAGCGGGGGAUGGACACCCAGAGAAAAUCAGGGCACUGAGUCAGAGGGACUGGAUGGCACGUGUUCCCAAACAGCACAUUUCUUCAGGAAAGAAACAUCUUCACUCCCUUCUCUGAGCUUGGAGGCAAAAGAACUGGGGGCUCAGUCAGGACAGGAAUGAGGCCCUGAGGAAAGGAAGCACAAGGGUCUGUGGACUUUGGCAAAUGCAUGGCCUGUGUUCACCGUUACAGUAUCAUACAGAAUGGUUUCCCGGCCUUAAGAUUCUCCUGUGCUCUGCCUGUUCAUCCCGCCCUCCUAACCACUGGUGACCACUGAUCUUUGUGCUGUCUCCACAGUUUUGCCUUUACCAGAAUAUCAUGUAGUUAGAAUCACAAAGUAAUUAGCCUUUUAAGAUGUCUUCUUUCACUUAGUAAUAUGCACUUAUGUCUCUCCAUGUCUUUUUGUGGCUUGAUAGUUCAUUUCUGUUCAUCACUGGAUAAUAUUCUCUGGUCUAUAUAUAGUAAUAUC